AAUCGGACAUAGUACGAUAAGGUUGUAUGUCUAAAGGGAAACAGCCCAGAACAAGAGUAAUAAGGUUCCUAAAUUAUUAUUAAGUGAAAUUAAGGAUAUAAAUAUAUAAUACAACCAGGAAAUAGGCUUAGAAGCGGUCAUUUUUUAAAGAUCUCGUAAUAGAGCACUGGUUAAUUUAUUCUUUAAUAUAUAGAUACCUAAAAUUUAACGGAUCUAAAUAAUAUACCGAUACCUUGUACAUAUUUAAAUUAAUUUAAAUAUGAGAUAGCGGAACAUUGGAUAAAAUAGUAGAGAUAUAAAUAAAUUAUAUUAUAUUUAACUAAUCUAAGAAUCCAAGAGAGAAUGCUGACAUGAGUAACGAAAAAGGAUUAUAAAUAAUAUCCUCGCCUUAAGCUUAUGGUAUUUGA
rnacentral:rRNA from 1 species